GUAUGCUUUCGAAUACAAGUAUAUAGGUAUUUUGUCGGGGUCCACGUUUUUGGGUACUACCUGAAACCCUCCAUCAGCUGAAUAAGAUAAAAAUUUCGAGUUUUUUUCGUGUCCGUCGGUCGCUGUCAACCCAAUUCAAAUUGUGUACAAAAUCGUGAGUCGCAUAAUUAAAAUUUAUUCGUUAUAAUCAUGGCAGGAAUCCGGCAAUUGAGUUGUUCGCGGUAAUGUCUGAGUAUCGAUAAGCUGUUUAAACGAGAAAUUAUAAAACAGCACUGCGAAAAUCAUGGCGCCAGUGAGGCAAUGCUGAAAAGCGGGGAAAAUCGCGACGAAAAGCCGCCAAUCUGUCGCAGAGACUUGAGUCAAGUGGUCAGGGCCGCUGCCAUUUUCGGUUGCGAUGCGAAAAACUUUACAAUGGCAAUUAAAAGCAAUUACCCAGGCCAUUAACGCAGCAGCCACUGCAGCGCAGAUACCAAAAAUGGAAAAACGCCGGCUAAAAGCCAAGAAAAGAGCCGGCCAAGCCACUAAAAUUGAGAAAAAAGGAAAAGAGUGCACGUAAUUUAUUUGUCAUCAAUCGGCUGGCAAUAAGUCAGACAAUCACAAAAAUGCUGUCAACAUUAA
rnacentral:sRNA from 1 species